GAGAAUCAAAGCUAAUGAGUGGUAAGACAAAUAGAGGUCAACCUAAUGGUUCAAAUAGGUAUGAUGAGAGAAAAGAAUGAUGGAUAAUGACACAGAGGAUUUUAGGUUAGGCUGUAGAGAUAGUGAGAAGGUAGUCAAAUGUCUAAGUAUUAGGUGGAUGUCUUCAGUGUGACCAAUAGAGUCAUUUUGCUUAAAGCAUUAAUGAUAGAAUAACCAUAGGGGA
rnacentral:misc_RNA from 1 species